CUGAAAUGACAGUCAAAAAAGGGCAACUAGAAUC
rnacentral:sRNA from 1 species